rnacentral:rRNA from 1 species
UACGUAGGGGGCCAGCGUUGCUCGGAAUUACUGGGCGUAAAGGGUUCGUAGGUGGUGCGGCAAGUUGGGAGUGAAAUCUCUGGGCUUAACUCAGAGGCUGCUUUCAAAACUGCCGUGCUCGAGUGCGAGAGAGGCCAGUGGAAUUGCAGGUGUAGCGGUGAAAUGCGUAGAUAUCUGCAGGAACACCCGUGGCGAAAGCGGCGCACUGGACCAUAACUGACGCUGAGGCGCGAAAGCUAGGGGAGCAAACAGG